UCCGAACUUGCUUUGGGCGAGUAAAGUGGCGCACGGGUGAGUAACGCGUGGGUAAUCUACCUUUGAAUUUGGGAUAACACUUCGAAAGGGGUGCUAAUACCGGAUAAUAUCUUUUUCAUUGCGGUGGAGAAGAUCAAAGAUGGCCUCUUCUUGAAAGCUAUUGUUUGAAGAUGAGCCCGCGUACCAUUAGCUUGUUGGUGGGGUAAUGGCCUACCAAGGCGACGAUGGUUAGCUGGUCUGAGAGGAUGAUCAGCCACACUGGAACUGGAACACGGUCCAGACUCCUACGGGAGGCAGCAGUGAGGAAUUUUGCGCAAUGGGGGAAACCCUGACGCAGCAACGCCGCGUGAGUGAUGAAGGCUUUCGGGUCGUAAAGCUCUGUCAAGUGGGAAGAAGUUGUGUAUGGCUAAUAUCUGUGCACAUUGACGGUACCACUGAAGGAAGCACCGGCUAACUCCGUGCCAGCAGCCGCGGUAAUACGGAGGGUGCAAGCGUUAUUCGGAUUUCUGGGCGUAAAGGGCGCGUAGGCGGCUUGAUAAGUCAGUCGUG
rnacentral:rRNA from 1 species